AUUGAACGCUGGCGGCAUGCUUUACACAUGCAAGUCGAACGGUAGAGGGGGCAACCCCUUGAGAGUGGCGAACGGGUGAGUAAUGCAUCGGAACGUGCCCAGUCGUGGGGGAUAGCCCGGGGAAACCCGGAUUAAUACCGCAUACGACCUGAGGGUGAAAGCGGGGGACCGAAAGGCCUCGCGCGAUUGGAGCGGCCGAUGUCGGAUUAGGUAGUUGGGGGGGUAAAGGCCUACCAAGCCUGCGAUCCGUAGCUGGUCUGAGAGGACGACCGGCCACACGGGGACUGAGACACGGCCCAGACUCCUACGGGAGGCAGCAGUGGGGAAUUUUGGACAAUGGGCGCAAGCCUGAUCCAGCCAUGCCGCGUGCGGGAAGAAGGCCUUCGGGUUGUAAACCGCUUUUGUCAGGGAAGAAAUCCUUUGGACUAAUACUCUGGGGGGAUGACGGUACCUGAAGAAUAAGCACCGGCUAACUACGUGCCAGCAGCCGCCGUAA
rnacentral:rRNA from 1 species